AUUUAUUUGGCCUUGUACUAAAUAAACCAUUUAUGGGAUAAAACAAAAGACAUUAUAUUUUGCUUUCUAGGAGAGGCUGGGCAAAGAUUCAAAGCAGAAGAUGUUUUCCGAGAGGACAAAAACAGCUUGCUUUAUUAAGGCCUGCUGGGACCAAUAUUGGUUGGACUGGCUGAUAACCUUCUCCAGGAAAUGAAGCUGAUUCUAGAGGGAUGAUGGUAUAGUGGAGAGAGAAGUGAGAACAAGCACAACAGAAUCAGCAAAAUAGAGAAAUUAACAUUGACACAUCACUACCAUUUACUCAACAAAGUUGAAUCCAAGCCACCAUCUAAGUUUUACCUAGUGUUCCAGAAAUGUUCUUAACUGCAAAAGAAUACAA